rnacentral:rRNA from 1 species
UACGGAGGAGGCAAGCGUUAUCCGGAGUUACUGGGCGUAAAGCGCACGCAGGCGGUCUGUUAAGUUUGGAGUGACAGUUGGUGGCUCAACCACCAAAGUGCUUUGAAAACUGAUAGACUUGAGGGCUUCAGAGGGACGCGGAAUUCCGGGUGGAGUGGUGAAAUGCGUAGAGAUCCGGAGGAACACCAAAGGCGAAGGCAGUGUCCUGGGGAGUACCUGACGCUCAGGUGCGAAAGCCAGGGGAGCGAACGGG